rnacentral:rRNA from 1 species
UACGGAGGGUGCGAGCGUUGUCCGGAAUCACUGGGCGUAAAGGGCGCGUAGGUGGCGCGGGUAGUCGUCGGUGAAAGCUCAGGGCUCAACCCUGAGUCGGCCGGUGAUACUCCCGUGCUUGAGUGUGGUAGAGGCCAAUGGAAUUCCGGGUGUAGCGGUGGAAUGCGUAGAGAUCCGGAAGAACACCGGUGGCGAAGGCGGUUGGCUGGGCCACAACUGACACUGAUGCGCGACAGCGUGGGGAGCAAACAGG